ensembl:lncRNA
CGGGGCUCUCAAUCCUGAUCCGCUGCGUCGGUGACUGUUGAGUGCCCCUGCUCGAGCUUGAAUAAAUGACCCUCGUGUGUUUACAUCGGAAUCAGCUCCUUGGUGGUCUUUGGGGACCUCGCGAUCUGGGCACAACAGAACUACUACAGGGCUGCUGCUGCAGAAAUGAAUAAUUGCCCUAAAGAUCAUCUGGCCUGCAAAACUGAGUAUGUUUACUAGCUGGCUCUUCACAGAAAAAGUGUGAGGACUCUGUCUGCCUUAGGACCACCACUCCAAGGAGGAUGGCAGUUAGGAUGGCCCUGCUUCGGAAGGGCCCCCAUCUUCAUGUCCCCUAAAAGAAGGAAAGGUUCAAGCAGAAAGUGAUGUGUGAUGACCUUCAACUGACCCAAGGGCUUGAAGUUAUGGAAGGGUAGAGAAGGGCUCCACCUUGGAAAUGGGCCACCAGGACCCCGAGGGAGUGGCAGUUCGGGCCCUAUCAUGGGAACUCAGGGCAGAGCGAUGAACACGGACAGGGAGGAGUGCCUGUUCUCAGGGGCUGGCCAUCCUACUGGCGGGAGCAGGAGGAAACACCUAAGAGCACUGGAUAGCAUGUUCCUGACAAUUCAGAGUAGAGACCAGUAAAUCCAGUAAAGAACUCCACCUAGCCGAGCACAUAUUUACGUCAAUGAUGUGGGGAAGCAUGUAGAGCCUUGGUUGAGUUUAUCAUAACAGAAGCGACUGGAAUCCAUCUAAAUGUCUAUGGGAAAGAGCCAGCAAGUCAAGAAAAAUGAAGAAGAGGGGAGAUAAUCAAUAGUGUUACAUUCCUAAUAAAGCAAGAAGAGGCAUAGCUCAUCCAUACUAUCAGUAAGCAAAAAGGAUCGUAGAAUAUUGGUGUAAGAUUCCUAUAAAGUCUUGGUCACUUGAAUGAUGUCUUCCUCUGGAUUCUGUGGGAAUGCGGCUUUCUCCCUAUAUUGAUCUUGUUGUGACCAUUUAGGCUUAAGAGAAGACAUCGUAUGUCUGUCCUUUAAUGUCCUCCAAAGUGAUACACUUAAGAAUAGAACUGACUUGGAUUCCCAGGCCAAUGUUCUUUCCCUACAUUAUAUAGUUGUUGUUGAACACAGUGUUCUUUAAAAUUAUCCUCAUUAUUUAAAAUUGCUGAUUAACAAUUUUCUCUGUACUUUGUACCUUCCAUCUGCCAGUUUGGUUUGGAGCUGGUUUCUGCAUAUGAAAUUAGUCUGAAAGCCUAGAACUUCCUUGCCCAGAAGUCUGAAGCAGCUCUCUUCUCCCACUUCCUACUCAAUGUUUCUUCAUCACUCACCACUCGGUCCUACUUUCUCAUCAUACUACACCUUGUAAUUAGCUUGUUUGGUUGCUUACUUGUGCAUGAUUUGACUGACUCCCUGUGAGACUUUGAGUCCCAAGAAGAUAUGGAAUUUCCUUUUUCUGAUUCUCACACCCAGUUCUGAAUGGCAUGAAACAUUAUGCCUUGCAUAAUGUCACACCAGGCAUCUGUGAG